rnacentral:rRNA from 1 species
GCCUACAAUAUAGCAUUAAUGCAACAUAUCCCAUUAUAACUCCGCAGUUAAGCAUGCUCAAGCUAGAGUAGUACUGAGAUGGGUGACCUCCUAUGAAGUCCUAGUGUUUUAUAUGCC